GCGACGCCGCGUGAGGGAUGACGGCCUUCGGGUUGUAAACCUCUUUCAAUAGGGACGAAGCGCAAGUGACGGUACCUAUAGAAGAAGCACCGGCCAACUACGUGCCAGCAGCCGCGGUAAUACGUAGGGUGCGAGCGUUGUCCGGAAUUACUGGGCGUAAAGAGCUCGUAGGUGGUUUGUCGCGUUGUUCGUGAAAACUCACAGCUCAACUGUGGGCGUGCGGGCGAUACGGGCAGACUGGAGUACUGCAGGGGAGACUGGAAUUCCUGGUGUAGCGGUGGAAUGCGCAGAUAUCAGGAGGAACACCGGUGGCGAAGGCGGGUCUCUGGGCAGUAACUGACGCUGAGGAGCGAAAGCGUGGGGAGCGAACAGGAUUAGAUACCCUGGUAGUCCACGCCGUAAACGGUGGGUACUAGGUGUGGGUUUCCUUCCUUGGGAUCCGUGCCGUAGCUAACGCAUUAAGUACCCCGCCUGGGGAGUACGGCCGCAAGGCUAAAACUCAAAGAAAUUGACGGGGGCCCGCACAAGCGGCGGAGCAUGUGGAUUAAUUCGAUGCAACGCGAAGAACCUUACCUGGGUUUGACAUGCACAGGACGCCGGCAGAGAUGUCGGUUCCCUUGUGG
rnacentral:rRNA from 1 species